GCUUGUAAAUUUUAUCAACUGGUAUAAAUAUAAUCAGUUGUCCAACUUUUGAAGUUAAUAAAAAGUUACUUUUGUUUUUAUGUAUUUUUUUUAUUUUUCAUUCCUGUGGCUAAAUUUAAUCAUCUUUUCGCAUCUGUGGUUAAUCUUAUCAUUCUGCACUGUUUAGCAUAGCCAUUGGGGAUGCUUUAGCUUAAGCUUCCGUUUACUUUGUUUACCUUUUAGAUCUAGGGUGACUCCAAGACCCAAGGGUCUUUUGCCC
rnacentral:lncRNA from 1 species